AUUUAUAAACUAAAAUUCAAAGACACAAACCAAAAUUUCAAUUCAUAUCCUCAAGGUUCAACGCAUAUCCACAAAAGUUCAAGUCAAAUUAUAAAAUUUCAAUAUAUAAACUAAAAUUCCAAUACAUAAACCAAAAUUUCAAUUCAUAUCCUAAAGGUUCAAUGCAUAUCCACAAAAGUUCAAGUCAAAUCCUAAAAUUUCAAUUUAUAAACUAAAAUUCCAAUACAUAAACUAAAAUUUCAAUUCAUAUCCUAAAGGUUCAACUCAUAUCCACAAAAGUUCAAGUCAAAUCCUAAAAUUUCAAUUUAUAAGGUAAAAUUCCAAUACACAAAUGAAACUUUCAAUUCAUAUCCUAAAGUUUCAACUCAUAUCCACAAACGUUCAAGUCAAAUUCCAAAACUUCAAUUUAUAAACUAAAAUUCAAAGACACAAACAAAAGUUUCAAUUCAUAUCCUAAAGGUUCAACUCAUUCGACAAAAGUUCAAGUCAAAUCCUAAUAUUUCAAUUUAUAAACUAAAAUUCCAAUACACAAACCAAAAUUUCAAUUCAUAUCCUAAAGGUUCAACUCAUAUCCACAAAAGUUCAAGUCAAAUUCUAAAACUUCAAUUUAUAAACUAAAAUUCAAAGACACAAACCAAAAUUUCAAUUCAUAUCCUCAAGGUUCAACGCAUAUCCACAAAAGUUCAAGUCAAAUUCUAAAAAUUUCAAUUUAUAAACUAAAAUUCCAAUACAUAAACCAAAAUUUCAAUUCAUAUCCUAAAGGUUCAACUCAUAUCCACAAAAGUUCAAGUCAAAUCCUAAAAUUUCAAUUUAUAAACUAAAAUUCCAAUACAUAAA
rnacentral:lncRNA from 1 species